GAGUUUGAUUAUGGCUCAGGAUGAACGCUAGCGGGAGGCCUAACACAUGCAAGCCGAGCGGGAUUUGUUGGUUAGCUUGCUAACUAAUAAUGAGAGCGGCGUACGGGUGCGUAACACGUGUGCAACCUGCCUUUAUCUGGGGGAUAGCCUUUCGAAAGGAAGAUUAAUACCCCAUAAUAUAUUAAUUGGCAUCAAUUGAUAUUGAAAGCUCCGGCGGAUAGAGAUGGGCACGCGUAAGAUUAGCUAGUUGGUGAGGUAACGGCUCACCAAGGCUGCGAUCUUUAGGGGGCCUGAGAGGGUGAUCCCCCACACUGGUACUGAGACACGGACCAGACUCCUACGGGAGGCAGCAGUGAGGAAUAUUGGACAAUGGGUGAGAGCCUGAUCCAGCCAUCCCGCGUGAAGGACUAAGGACCUAUGGUUUGUAAACUUCUUUUAUACAGGGAUAAACCUACUCUCGUGAGGGUAGCUGAAGGUACUGUAUGAAUAAGCACCGGCA
rnacentral:rRNA from 1 species